rnacentral:rRNA from 1 species
AGUGAACGCUAGCGAUAGGCCUAACACAUGCAAGUCGAGGGGCAGCAUAGAGUAGCAAUACUUUGAUGGCGACCGGCGCACGGGUGAGUAACACGUAUGCAACCUACCUACAUCAGGGGAAUAACCCGGAGAAAUUCGGACUAAUACCGCAUAAUACAGGGAUGCCGCAUGGCAAUAUUUGUUAAAGAUUUAUCGGAUGUAGAUGGGCAUGCGUUCCAUUAGCUAGUUGGUAAGGUAACGGCUUACCAAGGCAACGAUGGAUAGGGGAACUGAGAGGUUUGUCCCCCACACUGGAACUGAGACACGGACCAGACUCCUACGGGAGGCAGCAGUGAGGAAUAUUGGUCAAUGGACGAGAGUCUGAACCAGCCAAAUCGCGUGAAGGAAGACUGCCCUACGGGUUGUAAACUUCUUUUGUACAGGAAUAAAAGACAUUACGUGUAAUGUAUUGCAUGUACUGUACGAAUAAGCAUCGGCUAACUCCGUGCCAGCAGCCGCCGUAA